rnacentral:rRNA from 1 species
UACCAGGGUAUCUAAUCCUGUUUGCUCCCCACGCUUUCAUGCUUCAGCGUCAGUAUCGGGCCAGUGAGCCGCCUUCGCCACUGGUGUUCUUGCGAAUAUCUACGAAUUUCACCUCUACACUCGCAGUUCCACUCACCUCUCCCGAACUCAAGAUCUUCAGUAUCAAAGGCAGUUCUGGAGUUGAGCUCCAGGAUUUCACCCCUGACUUAAAGACCCGCCUACGCACCCUUUACGCCCAAUAAUUCCGAACAACGCUGGCCCCCUACGUAUUACCGCGGCUGCUGGAAGGG